UCUCUCUCUCUCUCUCUCUCUCUCUCUCUCUCUCUCUCUCUCUCUCCGUGUACAUGUAGCUUAGCUUGCAAUCAUUGUUUCUCAUCUUCUCCCUACAUCUCAUGAGCAAGCUUUUGAGAGGAUGAUCAGGGUUAGCAGAGAGACACUGCACAUUCAGAGUCAGAUUCAAAAAGUAGGGAAAACCAACCCUAUUUGAUAGCCAAGUUCAGGU
rnacentral:lncRNA from 1 species